ensembl:lncRNA
CCUGUGUGUGCGUUUGUUGCUGUGACAACCCCAAAUGACGGAUUGGCAACAGGUGUGGGGGAUUUACUCAGAGAGUUUGCGUGAGGCCUCAUCAACAGUGGAGAGGAUAAAAAGCAAGAGAGAGAGGUGGUCGGUGUGGUUUUUCUCCCUUGUGAAAAGUCGUUUUAUUGGGUGGUAAUAGUUACUGGAGGACGGGUGAAUGAAGAGGAAAGUGUUGCUUUGAUGAGGGAUUCGAGGACAACAGAAGGAGAGUGAAAUACCCUGUUUGCAUUGGAGAGGAGCUAAGUAACUGAGAACUGAGUCUUGUAAUUGCACACGUUUGACACUGAAUUGGAUGUGGUUUGGAGUGUUUGGAUCACGAUCAUAAAUAUCACUGAGUGGAUUGUACUGAUUCAUUACCGAUCUCUUACCUCUCCCUCCUUUAUAAAUGGUGAUGUGAACUCUGCCUGUGACUGUGAAGAGCAACAUCUCAGAACAUCCUCAGUGGCAGUGAGGAUCGCGCCUUCCCCUCGGACCGAAACCCGAAUAAAAGCCCUGUGCAAUCUGUUUACUUCGAGUCUGCUGUAUCCCUGCCAUUCAACUGUAUGGUGAGAAGUGUUUGUUCCUUCCAACGCAUGUGAACUGUAUACUUUGUCUGGAGCAUUCAUUCUGUCUGUCUCAGUAGAAACCCUGCACAGCCUGCUGACGUCGAGUUUGUUGCAUCCUUGUAGCCCACCUGAGCUGAGAGCAGUGGCUGUUCCCUCUGUCAUGAAUCUGAGGCUGGCAUGCUCUGUCUGGAAUAUCCACUCUGUCUGUGUCAGAAGAAGCCCCGUUCAGCCCGUUGACUUCGAGUCUGCUGUAUCCCUGCCAUUCAUCUGUAUUGUGAGAAGUGUUCGUUCCUUCCAACGCAUGUGAAUUGUAUACUUUGUCUGAAGCAUUCAUUCUGUCUGUGUCAGUAGAAACCCUGCACAGCCUGUUGACCUAGAGUUUGUUGCAUCCUUGUGGCCCACCUGUGCUGAGAGAGAUGACUGUCCUUUGUCACGAACGUGAGGCUGGCACGCUUUGUCUGGAAUAUCCACUCUGACGGUGUCAGGAGAAACCACCUUACUGUAAGACCGUGCACCUGCCGUAUACGUACUCGACUGAUAUCAUUCACCUCAAAUUCCGUACCUGUGGAAGAAGGAAGGCUGGAAUUACAUACUUACCGGAGGAGACUUACCGGACCCCUCACUUGCCAAACACAUCCCCACCUCAAGGCUGUGUAUCUGCCGUGUACGGACCUGACCGAUAUCCAUCCGUCCCAAAUUCUGCAUCUGUGAAAAAGGGAAGGAAGGUUGGAAGUAUUUAAUUAUCAGAGGAGACUUACCAGACUGUUGGCUUGCCGAUCGUAUCCCCACCUGUGAAAUACCUACUUGACCACCCAUCUGUCCAUCUAUUACGGGGCCCGCACAGAGGAAGAGGGCGGGAGAGUCCCCGGUCGCUGCACUGUUCACCUUCGAUUCCUGAGGGCAUCAAAGAUUUUAGAUUAGGAUUUCCAAUUUGCUUUUACUUCAAAAUAAAACUUGUUAAAUUUAUUCUCUGUCUCCGACUCUUCCCUCUGAUACGCUCCUCGAGGUGGUCCUGGUUUAGGGGUGGGCGCAGUCUAGCUUGGGCCUCCCGACCUGUGACUUAUUAUUAUUUUAUUUUUUUUUU